CACCCUCAAUCUGCCUCGGUUUCGGCUUCGGCUUCGGCUUCGGCUCCCGCUCCGCCCGAUCGCCAGUCGCCCGAGACCCCACCCCCACCCCGCGUGCGGAGCCCCCUCCUCCCACCCCAAAGCCGGGGCCAGCCGCGCAGCGCGAGCGGGGGCGCGCGGACCGACUGACGCGCGCUGGCCAGCGGGAGCAGCACACUCACACCCAGUCCCCUUAAACACGCAGGCGCGUAGCUGCCCCCGCCAGGCGGGGAUGCCGGAGGAGUCCCCGCGGCCUCCCGCCGCUCUCCCCAAGGGGUCAAGCUGGGGCCAAUCCCAAGCUUGCUUUCUAUCCCCCUCUUACCGCACCCUCCCUUUUCUAGCUCCUCCGACUCCUCUCUCGAUCGGGAGCCACGCCUCCCAAGCUCCAGGAUUUGUUGACCUUCAACCAGAAUAA
rnacentral:lncRNA from 1 species